rnacentral:pre_miRNA from 1 species
AGUCGGAUAACUGGGUCAAAUGGUGGUUCCAUUCCUAGUUUUCUGAGGAAUCUCCAUACUGCUUUCCAGAGUGGUUAUACCAAUUUGCAUUCCCACCAGCAAU